rnacentral:misc_RNA from 1 species
GAUGAAGAACGUAGCGAAAUGCGAUAAGUAGUGUGAAUUGCAGAAUUCAGUGAAUCAUCGAAUCUUUGAACGCACAUUGCGCCCCUUGGUAUUCCAUGGGGCAUGCCUGUUCGAGCGUCAUUUGUACCUUCAAGCUCUGCUUGGUGUUGGGUGUUUGUCUCGCCUCUGCGUGUAGACUCGCCUCAAAACAAUUGGCAGCCGGCGUAUUGAUUUCGGAGCGCAGUACAUCUCGCGCUUUGCACUCAUAACGACGACGGCCAAAAGUACAUUUUUACACUCUUGACCUCGGAUCAGGUAGGGAUACCCGCUGAACUUAAGCAUAUCAAUAAGCGGAGGA